rnacentral:misc_RNA from 1 species
GAUGAAGAACGUAGCGAAUUGCGAUAAGUAAUGUGAAUUGCAGAUUUUCAGUGAAUCAUCGAGUCUUUGAACGCACAUUGCGCCCCCUGGUAUUCCGGGGGGCAUGCCUGUCCGAGCGUCAUUGCUGCCCUCAAGCACGGCUUGUGUGUUGGGCCUCCGUCCUCCUCCCGGGGGACGGGCCCGAAAGGCAGCGGCGGCACCGCGUCCGGUCCUCGAGCGUAUGGGGCUUCGUCACCCGCUCUUGUAGGCCCGGCCGGCGCUUGCCGACACAUCAAUCUUUUUUCCAGGUUGACCUCGGAUCAGGUAGGGAUACCCGCUGAACUUAAGCAUAUCAAUAAGCGGAGGA